rnacentral:tRNA from 1 species
GGUCCAUUAGCUCAGUUGGUUAGAGCGAGCGCCUUAUAAGCGCUAGGUCCGGUGUUCAAACCACCGAUGGACCACCA